GAUGAACGCUGGCGGCGUGCCUAAUACAUGCAAGUCGAGCGAACAGAUGCGGCGCUUGCUCCUCUGACGUUAGCGGAGGACGGGUGUGUAACACGUGUAUCCCCUCCCUAUCUGACUGGGAUAACUUCGGGACUCCGGAGCUAAUACCGGAUAAUAUCUUGAACCGCAUGGUUCGUUAGAGAAAGACGGUUGUGGUGUCACUACUAGAGGGAUACCCGCUGGAUUAGGUAGUUGGUACGGUAACGGCCUACCACGGCGAGCAUGCGUGUGCGACCUGUGAGGCGGAUCGGCCACAUGGGAACUGAGACACGGUCCAGAGUCCUACGGGAGGCAGCAGUAGGGAAUGGUCGGCAAUGGGCGGAAGCCUGACGGAGCGGGGCCACGUGUGUGAUGAAGAUCUUCGGAGCGUAAAGCUCUGUUACGAGGUGAGAACAGAUGUGGAAGGAACUAUGGACGUCUUGACGGUACCUAGUCAGAAAGCAACGGCUAACUACGUG
rnacentral:rRNA from 1 species